rnacentral:rRNA from 1 species
AUACGAAGGGGGCUAGCGUUGUUCGGAAUUACUGGGCGUAAAGCGCGUGUAGGCGGAUCGUUAAGUCAGGGGUGAAAGCCCGGGGCUCAACCCCGGAACUGCCCUUGAUACUGGCGAUCUAGAGUCCGGAAGAGGUGGGCGGAAUUCCCGGUGUAGAGGUGAAAUUCGUAGAUAUCGGGAGGAACACCAGUGGCGAAGGCGGCUCACUGGUCCGGUACUGACGCUGAGACGCGAAAGCGUGGGGAGCAAACAGGAUUAGAAACCCCAGUAGUCC